rnacentral:lncRNA from 1 species
UGUGAAUCAAAUGAAAUGCAAAUGUUGAUGAAGUUUUAUGACAAUUCUACUGUCAUGUGAGGACAAACACUUGAGUGGUGAGGAAUGAUAAAUGUUGAUCUGGUUAUUCAUAUUCUAUGCACAGGUGAUUUUGUGAGUACUGUACCAUGUCAUAUUUGUUUGAAUAUUUGAGAAUGCAUGUGAUUUUUUUCUGAUGUGC